UCCAGUCAUCCCAGAGGACAGGCCCUCUGUGCUCCCAGGCCUCCCCACCCGUUCCUCUGCUUCGUUCUGCCCCCGAUAUGCUGCGAAAAUCAUCACUCCUUGUUCAUUUUCCGGGGCGGGGAGGAGGAGGGGUCAGUCUCACUUCCUCCCUCGGCUGAGCUGCAGGAGACUCAGAGAUGGCCUUGGCCUCACCCAGCUGUGCUGUCCCCACCCAGCCGGCUGCUUUGACAUUUAAAGGACUAGUCCGAUCCUGCUGGGUCGCAUUCUUGAGCAACUCCGGCGCUGUGGCCCUGCACUUUCUGGAGGACUGAGUGUUUUACUCAGCCUUCACCUAUGAGGAGCCCGUGAGACCCAGGCAUGGAGCCCUUUGUGCCUCAGCCAGCCAAGCCCAGAUCCAGCCACGUGGACGUGUGCUGACAGCACCGUCGAUGCACAGUCUCCACCAAGCUGGGACAAAGGCAGAGCUAUCAGUAGCCACGUCGGGUAGAACAGAAGGCAUUCUGGGAACGCGGUGCUCUCACAUCCUGCAAAGUACAGGCCUGCAGAGCAGAUGGCAGGGACUUCAAAAGCUAAGUCACCUUGAAAGAUAAUGGCACAAAGGGCGAUUGGGGGUGGGGUGGGUGGGAGGCUUUUGUACCCUUUUGCAACAAGGAAGCAGAAAAGACAAAAGCUAUUUGCCAGCCUGGUGCGGGAAUCAACAGAAUAGAGAGAUGGUUCUGCUGCAAUUUCCAUCAAGGGUGGCCAAGCCUCCAGUCUUCUUGUCCAGAAGUAAGUGGCAUCAACCAACUCUGCCAAACUGCAUUUCCUGCCUCCUGAUCUGGGGUCUUUUCCUUUUCUUUUUUCACACAGGGAGUAUUUCCAUCCUCUCUGUCCAGGCAGCUGAGCCUUGACAACCUCUCCUCCCCUUCACCAUGCCCCGACUGAUCUCCUAAUGGAGCCCCACCCCUCGAGUCCCUGGGCCUGUGGAAGGGAGAGCAUUAUGGUUUGGAAGAAAUGGAAACGGCAUGGAAGUCCCAUGUGGGCAGAGCCUGCACACCAAACCCUUCUAGACUGCAAAGGGUUUGACUCAGCCCAAAGAGGACUCUGCCAGGAAGCUGUCAGGCACCUGAGGCCACCUGCCUCUCCUCCGCUUCAGGAAUAACCAUCAGUACUGCAUCUUGGCUCUGAGGGGCACUGGGCAUCACGAUGCCCACUCGAAGCAGCUAGGGCACGUUGAUCUCUGCAUCUCCAUACAGAUGUCCGAGGAAAUGAUCCCAUAGCCUCAUCUCUGUUUCAGAGGCAGAGGCAGAGUCCACCAUAAUCUAGCCCAUUGCUCUCAACCAGACAGAGCGCACCUCCUGGCCACUAGGUGAGCAUUUGUC
rnacentral:lncRNA from 10 species